CUAUGCUUCAAGUUUUUUACGAAAUUUAACUCUUUGAAUUCAACAUCGGCCUGUAUAGAAACAAAAACAGUAUCGAACCGUCAGCCGCUUCAGAUGAAAUACUAACAAUCGGACAGAGCGGAGUCUAGUUUUAAGGUUGAUUCUGUUUGAAAGUAUACCAAAUUCCAUUCAAAAGGAAAAAAAUCACGAAAACAAAAUAAUUACAGGAAGUUAUCGUUUUAAUGAUGUCAAACACUAGUCCAGUCUUACAAAGCCACAUAGGUGGAGAUGGUUACUUGAAAUACAUCCCGGUAGUGUUGCUAUGUAUUGGCAUUUUGGUGGGAAUCGCAGUAUGUAUAAAAUACAGACGAAGACUUGUAGAGGGUGUGAGGGAGAGGACCCUUAUCUUAAAUCGAUUAUCAGGUCACAGAUAUGACAAUACCCGAAUGUAGCCAAAAUAUUUGAAACAAACAUACUGAGAUGCAGUCUUGCAAUGCAGGAAACCUAUCGCAUUACGUAUAGCUUUGAAUCACUUUCCUUUGAAAAGAAGCAUGAAGAAUGAAGAGUCACAUCAACCAUUGUAUUACAAUGUCUAUUAUAAUAUUUAUAUUUGUUAUCAUGUUUUUAAAUAUUAGCAUAAUUUUAUUAUUGAAACAAAGCAGACCGAUGAACAAUAAUAUUACAAAAAAUCAAUUUUAGAAAAAAAUUCAAAAAUUUAAUAAGGUUUUUCUUUUCUAACCAACUAUUAAUGUUUACAUUUUUCAAUGUCUUUUUCUGUGAUAACACUACGAAUUGAUUCUUAAAUGUACAGUCCAAUAUAUUAAAACGGCGUACAGUAGGGGAACAAAGGGGGUUUGCAUAAUUACAAGUAACAAAAAUAAAAAUGGCUUAUAAACUUUUUCUACAUUCUUAUGAUUUAUCGUACAGCUGCUCGAAUUAUAUAAUUAUAAGAAAUCUGUCUUAAAAUAUUAAGAGAUGAUAAUUUCGGUCGGAGCGUGGUUUAUUCUACAAUUCAGACCGUGGGUUUUAUCAGAUAUGACCACGCUCCAAUCGAGAUUAUCGCCUCAUAAUACUCAUAACAUGGUUCCUUAUUCAUCCAAUAACAAUAAUUUUUCAUACAUGUACAUUCAUACACAGUACACUCAUAUUCGACAAUUU